AGUGAACGCUGGCGGUAGGCCUAACACAUGCAAGUCGAACGGCAGCACAGUAAGAGCUUGCUCUUACGGGUGGCGAGUGGCGGACGGGUGAGGAAUACAUCGGAAUCUACUUUUUCGUGGGGGAUAACGUAGGGAAACUUACGCUAAUACCGCAUACGACCUACGGGUGAAAGCAGGGGAUCUUCGGACCUUGCGCGAUUGAAUGAGCCGAUGUCGGAUUAGCUAGUUGGCGGGGUAAAGGCCCACCAAGGCAACGAUCCGUAGCUGGUCUGAGAGGAUGAUCAGCCACACUGGAACUGAGACACGGUCCAGACUCCUACGGGAGGCAGCAGUGGGGAAUAUUAGACAAUGGGCGCAAGCCUGAUCCAGCCAUACCGCGUGGGUGAAGAAGGCCUUCGGGUUGUAAAACCCUUUUGUUGGGAAAGAAAAGCAGCAGGUUAAUACCCCGCUGUUCUGACGGUACCCAAAGAAUAAGCACCGGCUAACUUCGUG
rnacentral:rRNA from 1 species